rnacentral:rRNA from 1 species
GACGAACGCUGGCGGCGUGCCUAAUACAUGCAAGUUGAGCGCUGAAGGUUGGUACUUGUACCGACUGGAUGAGCAGCGAACGGGUGAGUAACGCGUGGGGAAUCUGCCUUUGAGCGGGGGACAACAUUUGGAAACGAAUGCUAAUACCGCAUAACAACUUUAAACACAAGUUUUAAGUUUGAAAGAUGCAAUUGCAUCACUCAAAGAUGAUCCCGCGUUGUAUUAGCUAGUUGGUGAGGUAAAGGCUCACCAAGGCGAUGAUACAUAGCCGACCUAAGAGCGGAGUUGGCCACAAUGGGACUGGGACACGGCCCAAACUCAUAGGGGAAGCAGCAGUAGGGAAUCUUCGGCAAUUGACGAAAGUCUGACCGAGCAACGCCGCGUGAGUAAAGAAGGUUUUCGGAUCGUAAAACUCUGUUGGUAGAGAAGAACGUUGGUGAGAGUGGAAAGCUCAUCAAGUGACGGUAACUACCCAGAAAGGGACGGCUAACUACGUGCCAGCCGCCGCCGUAA